rnacentral:lncRNA from 1 species
GUGCGCCUCGGGCCGCGGGACUGCUGCUGCUACCGCCGCCGCCACCGCCGCCGCCACCGCCUCUACGGCCGCGUCAGAACUGGAGAGGAAGGGGAGGAGCCCAGGCGAGCCUAAGCUACCGCCUGAUCUUACCCCUGACCCGAGGGCGGCGCGGAGAGAGAGCUCCGUGGCCGUUCCCUCCGGGGCAGGUGCGAACUGCUCCUCUGGGAACGAGGAGGCGGCCCAGGCCCCGGGGCCGGGCUAGGGCGCGCACCACCCGAAGAUUCUGUUUAAGUUUUGGGGAAAACUACAGAAAUUUAAACUGUGGUGCCGAAGUAAAAGAAUUUUCAAGAUAAAAAGGACCACAAUCCUCAGAAAUCUGUCUUGAGCCUGCCCUUCUUAAUGGUGGGAGAAUGAGAUUAAAGCAGCAGCAAAGAUAAAGGGAAACAAAUUCCACAGUUGUGUGGCUGGACCCCUGCACCCGACCCCUGCUCUCAGAAAUUAAAGAAAUGCAAUGUAGGGUUAGAGAAGUUUGUGAAGCCGAGCACCUCAGAGUUUAAUUUCGUGAACUUUGAAUGGGAAGAGUACAAAUUGCAGAGCUCUGCAACUGAAAAUGCUUCCAGAAACCUGUGUGUCAUGCCGUGUUCAAAGGCCUGAUCUGUUUCAUUGCCAAUGGUUCCACUCUAUAACCUCAUCACUGAGGGACAGAAUGGCACUCAGAAGAGCCCCAAGCCACCUACUGAGGAUAGUAGCUCCACUAAGCUUACUGAAUAAGAUCCAUUCACCUCCCCUCCCAGACUGGUAACAGGAGAAAACAGCUGUUAGACCCUGGCCGCUGGAAAGGAGGGAAUUCAUACAUCUCCAACUUGUUCUAUAUCCUUUCAGUUCCAUAAUUUUUUUUUUUUUUUUUUUUUUUUUUUUGGUUUUUCGAGACAGGGUUUCUCUGUGUAGCUUUGUAGCCUGUCCUGGCACUCGCUCUGGAGACCAGACUGGCCUCGAACUCACAGAGAUCCGCCUGCCUCUGCCUCAAGUGCUGGGAUUAAAGGCGUGCGCCACCAAGGCCCAGCCAGUUCCAUAAAUUUAUUGCCUGAUAAUCAAUAGGAGAAAUACAUCAGUUAAAUCAGAUUUCAAAAACAGUAAAUUAGAACCAAACACUUAUUUUGGCUAACGGUUCUUUCCCUGGCUCAUCAGUUUAUCAAAGAUCUGCCUGCUGUGUUAAAGUGUGACAAAUGGAUAUCUGUGUUUCAUAACUUCCCUUGAAAGUGAGCUUAUAUGAGAAACUAAUCAAUGUUUUAUUAUCCCACACCAGUAGUUUCUACUGUCAAAGAUUACCUAACCUAGCUUAUCUGGCAAAAUCUCUAAAAUGCCACUAUAUAUCAGUUCAUUUUAAGCAUUUUUGUGAAAUAGACUUUAAACAUAUAAGGCAGUUGUAUGCUAUGAGUAAUUAUCAAAGAAACUACCCUGUAAGCAGUCAACCAAGCCAAUCAGUGGAGUUUUGCUAAUCCUCCAAAAGCCCUAAUGACCUUCCUAAACACAACUCUCCCUCCUGGAAGUUACUGUUAUUCUGACCUUUAUGGUAAUCAUUUCCUUGCUUUUCUUUAUUGUUUUAUCACAGGUGUUCAUCCCUAAGCAUUACAUUGUUUAGUUUUUCCCUUUCUUGUGAAUGGUAUAUAAAUGAGAUAAUAUGUAACCUGUUAUGCUUACCAUAUUUGCUCAACUGCUGUCUGUAAUCCAUAUGUUGUUCAGGUUGUUUAGAGCUACAGUUUGUUCCCUUUCAUUGCUGUCUAUACAAGUGUUUCAUUGUAACAAUAUGUAACAAUUUGUUUAGCCAUUUUGUUGUUGAUCAAAGUCUGGGUUCAUUUUGAGCUAUAAAUGCUGUUGCAGAUAAUUCCUUAAAUCUGUAUUCUGUCAUCUACAUCAGUUUUUGUGUGAUCUGUACUUGAGAGUGUAUAUCAUAAACAUGAGUAAAUAAUGUCACACAGGCUUCUAACAGGAUACAGUCACAUUAGCUACAUAUGAGUGUCAUUGCUCCAGACCUCAUUUCAGUUUUAACUUCCAUUUCCCCAAUUACUGACUGUGUUGAGAACCUUUCAUAGAUCCACUAUUGUAUUAGUCGGGGUCCUCUCUAAGAACAGAAUUUAUAGAAAGGUGAUUUGUUAGAAUGGUUUACAGACUGUGCUCCAGCUAAUACAACAAUGGCUGUCUUACCUAAGAAAGGGACAAGAAGCUGGGCAUUGGUGGCGCAUGCCUUUAAUCGCCCCCCCCAGGAGGGGGGGCAGGGGCAGGCGGAUAUCUGUGAGUUUGAGGCCAGCCUGGCUUAUAGAGUGACUUCCAGGACAGCCAGAACUGUUUCACAGAGAAACCCUGUCUUGAAAAGAAAAAAAAGAAAGGGACAAGAAUCCAGUUGUUGAGUCCAUGAGGACAGAUGCCUCAGCUUUUUCAAUAUACAUCAGAAUGCCAAAGAAGUGGACUCUAAUGCCAAUGAAGGUUGGACUUGCUAGCAAGAGUGAGAGCAAGUAGGCAAAAGGAACAAGCUUCCUUCUUUUGUGUCUUUCAUCUAGACUGCCAGCAGCAGGUGUGGCCCAGAUGAAGGUGGAUCUUCCCACCUCAGAAGAUCUGGAUUAAAAGUGGGUCUUCCAUUCGAGGCCAGCCUGAUCUCCAGAGCGAGUGCCAGGAUAGGCUCCAAAGCUACACAGAGAAACCCUAUCUCGGAAAAAAAAAAAAAAAAGUGGGUCUUCCCCUUCAAAUGAUUUAAUUAUGCAAAAAUAUCCCACACAGGUAUACCUAGCCACUGGGUUUUAGUUAAUUCCAGAUGUAGACAAGUUGACAUCCAAGAAUUGCCAUCACAUCUAUAUUGAUAGCAAUUGGAUUCUUUAUCAUUCUAAUGUGUAAUCUCUGAAAUGCCCACAAUUCCAGUGUCUUUUAGUAGUUCAUAUUUGAACACCAAGAUCAGGGUACAGAAAUGCCACCAAAUGAAUGAUGUUUGGGAGAGAUUCUUUUUGUUUGGUUUUUGGGGGAACAGGUCGAGAUAGGGUUUCCCUGUCCUGGAACUCUGUAGACCAGACUGACCUCCAUAUGGGGGUUGGGGGAAUGGAGGGGUACAGAGGCUUUCUAAAAGAAUUUAGCUUACCUAAUUACUUUAUGAAUUGAUCAUGAACUUUAAAGUAGGGUACACACACACACACACACACACACACAUAUAUUCCUUCCAAAACAAUGUUUUUUCAAUUAUUAAAAAUGUGAAGUCUUGGGGCUGGAGAGAUGGCUCAGAGGUUAAGAGCACUGACUGCUUGCUCUUCCAUAGGUCCUGAGUUCAAUUCCCAGCAACCACAUGGUGUGCAGAUAUACAUGGAAGUAGAAUGUUGUAU